ensembl:snoRNA
AGGUCAUUUCAAAGAGGGCUAAUGGGACCAAAUCCAGGUGCACUUAAUGCUGUGACCAAAGAUUGCGUUCUCCUUAGGACGUUAACAGUCACUCCAUAGUCCUAUGUUUUCCUGAUAGAGAUACAAGA